rnacentral:lncRNA from 1 species
CCUCUCUAGGAGCUGGGAUUACAAGCACCCGCCACCACCACGUUUUUUUGUAUUUUUAGUAGAGAAAGGGUUUCACCAUGUUGGCCAGGCUGGUCUCAAACUCCUGACCUCGUGAUCUGCCCGCCUCGACCUCCCCAAGUGUUGGGAUUACAGGCAUGAGCCACCAAAAAUUUGAAUUGUCCAUGUACUCUAUGAUUUUUAAAACUGUCUUCAAAGCCAUUUUGAAAACAAGUGCUCAACGUUUUGGGGGAGAAUUUUUAUUGAUUAGCUGCCAUGAAAUCACUCAUCAUACUUCUGGUAAGCUGCCAUCUGAAGAGGCAUGAAAAAGUUCCGUGGUGUCUGCUGAGUGUUCUCGGUUAAUCCAGUCCAAAUUAUUAAGCCUUCAUAAUCCUCCAAGACACGUAAUCAGAUAAGACUGCAACUGAUUUGAAGAAAUCCUUAAUUGCAGAAAUCAUCAAGCCUUGCUCUUCUGCUGGGCGAGAUGAAAGCGUUCAUCUUCUCCGGAGAACACACGAAGUCCUCACCUUGCAAGCAGAGACCAGGCCCUCCCCAGACACUGAGCUUGGUGGCACUUGGAUUUUGGACUUCCAGCCUCCAAAAUUGUGAGAAGUCCCAGCUGGUGAAUAUCCAGGUAAAGAUUCUGACCUUGCCUUCUGGAAGCUAAUACUCUAAUUGGGAAGAAAAGUUAUAAAUGCAUAUAAACCCACUAAGCAGAGUGAUAUGAAGGUAAUCACAGAGAGUCUGACAUGAUAGAACAAGCCUUCUGGAUUGGUCUGAUAAGCACUGGGACACCAUUGUAAAAAGUGCUGAAUAUCACAGAACACAAAGAAAAGAGAAAGAGAAACUGACAGAGCCUAUAAAUGUUGCACGAAGGUUCAGAUACAUACAGUUCUGCUGGCUUUUUAAGGAGCAGUGUUUCCUAUAUCCUAAGGCAGAUGGACAUGUUGGGAUGGAGGGACAUGGAUGGAGCUGGAAGCCAUUAUCCUCGGAAAAUUAACACAGGAACAGAAAACCAAACACUGCAUGUUUGUGGGAGCUGAACAAUGAGAACACAUGGACCCAGGGAGGGGAACAACACACACUGGAGCCUGUUGGCGGUAGUGGGGGUAUGAGGGAAGGAAGAGCAUCAGAAAAAAAUAACUAAUGUAUACUGGGCUUAAUACCUAGGUGAUUGGUUGAUAGGUGCAGCAAACCACCAUGGCACACAUUUACCUAUGUAACAAGCCUGUUGCACAUGUAUCCCGGAAUGUAAAAUAAAAUAAAAUAAAAUAAAUAGUACCCCAAAUGCAGUGCAGGACUCUGGAUUCAAUUCUGGAACAGAGAAAGGACAUUUGUGGGAAAAAAAGGGGUGCAAUCUAGGGUCUUUAUAUAUAGAUAAUGGUACUGUAUCAAUGUGAAUUUCUUAGUUUUGACUAAUGCACUAUGGUUAUGUAAGAUAUUAGCAUUAUGGGAUGCUGGUCAAGGCCAGAUGGUGACUUUCUGCACUCUUUGUAAUGUUUUUGUAAAUCUAAAAUGAUUCCAGAAUAAAAGGUGUAUUUAAGAAAUGGGGGAAAAAGAUAAGCAGCUCUGGGCCUUGGAGAGAGAUACAAAAAUUAGUAGCAAUUGAAAAUAAUUGAAGCCUCACCAGUAAAUAAGACAAUACAGAAAGAGUGACAGAACCUUCAUGAAUUCAUGAGAAUAAAUGCUAAAUUGCCGUAACUUAAAGACCCUGUAAUACCUUGACUCAGAGGACAAAGAAGUUUCAUUUUUUCUUCCUUAACAGUCCCAAUGUGAAGAGACUCAGCUGGUAGGAUAGCUCAACUCUACUUAGGCUUUUAGGGACAGUUAUGUUUGGGUGAUCUGCAAUCCCAUAGGUGUCAUCGCUAGCCUGGUUAAAACUAGAGUACUGCCUUCUUUGUAUUCUUGUCAUUUGUGCCAAUCAAUUGUAACUGGAGAGAGAGAAUAAAAAAGAGUGUAUCUACAGGUGCAUAUUAGUUCACAGGUUUGGUGGUAGAAGUUAAGGAAACUUCCCUCUGUGAAGGAACAAAAUCAAAGUCAUCUGUUUGCGAUCAAGAGGGGCAUGGCAGGGUUAUAC